CCUUUUGUUUCGCCUUAACAAUCGGUCUUUAUUCCAGUCCUGUACUUGGCACCGUUUAGCAGCCUGACUCCAAGCUUAACCACCCUGCCUCUUCUGCUUAAAGCAUUCAAGUUGCCCUCUUCUGCAAAUAUAUAUGGUAAACGUGGUGGGCCUCUCCACAGUCUGAAACAUCAGUGGUGUGGAGUAUAAUUCUAUAAUCUACUACAUAUAUUAUUAUUAUACACGACCACACGACCAAAGAACAGAGAGACUGCCUUAUUCAGAGAAGGAGAGUGAAAAAAACAAAGAGGGAAGUUUAAAAAAGUUGGGGUUUUCAAAUUUUGUAAAGCGGUGUUCUCAGGACUGAGAGGAGGCGUGUCUAGCUGCACUUUACCUGCUUUACAGAAUUCGUUCGUCUGUUUUAAAACGACAUGCACUCGAUCUGAAUUGCAACACAAAGACCACGGACAGCAGAAAGGUUUACUGCCAUGUCAGAGCGAAGAGGCCCGAGCAGAGCCUGCAGCUCGACUGGAUAUCUACCCAGCUGAGUGAGAGGGGGUUGCGGGAGCUGCCCAACCUGGGAGUUGUAACUGAAGCAAUGCAAUGCAACGGUAUCCCUGGUGGGAUUUCAUGUGUGGCCGGCUUGCUGGUGGAGAUUCUUGCAAAGAGAAUUAAAGCAUUGAGGUGCUUAGUGAUCCGACAACAGAUUAUGCAUUGUGAAGCUUUUCUUCAAGAGGAAAAGGAUUCUCCCCACUGCUCCAUGCACCAAAAGUUAUAGGUCAUGAAAAGGUACAGAGACAGGGCCUAUGUAACACGGACACCAGCCUUCUAUUGGAGCAAAAAGGGUGAACUGGACAGCAGCCUCCAAACAGAGGCGUUGUAAGAUCCUCAGUCCUUAGAAAGAGACUGGAGUGGAUAGCAGCCGUAUGCCACAGACACGUGUUGGGCCAGAGAACCUUAAGAGUGAGGGAUUGGAGAGCAGCCUCUAACGGAAGAGAGUGUGAGACCACAGAGCCUGAGACAGGUCUGCAGCAGCCCAGGGACCGGAGCAUCUCACUGGUGUCACAGAGGAGGAGGGACGGGGUCCAGCUUCAAAAACAUCAGCGUUCAUUUCAAACCUCAGGACUGUUGAGUGUGGAUGAGUGAAACAGCAGAGACACUGUGCUGUGAUGUACAGCAAUGGAAAUCGAAUAUGAGAACGGUUUAGAAUGUGUCAGCCUAGUAGUGAUGUCACGCUGUGCAUAACCCAUACUGCACGACGCUUCAUAGAACUUCCUGACUUGUGAUUUAUAAUCAGGUAACACGUCCCGUGCAGAGUCUUAUCAUAAUAGACCUAAUCUCUUUGGGCAAACUGUCCAAGAUGCUUACAACAACACCCUAAACACGCCACUUUUUAAACUUAGAAAUAAAACCAAGCCUGCUUAAAACAGUUUGUCCAGACAGCUGUUUAAAUAUUAUGUUAUGAUAGGUCUCCCCAAUUAAAUUCAACAGCACUGCAAUACACACCCUGGCACCAAUUUCCAGAGUGUAUUAUUCAUUAAAUUUAGAUUGAUAUGAAAGGGGAAUCAGAUCACUGCUGUUGAGCUGCUGUAAGUCCAGGGUGAGUAAAUGCAAACAGAAAGCUGCUGCUAGUUCCCAUCGUGUUCUCACUGUAUUGCAUGAGCUGGGCCUUCAUUCAGGUCCCAGCAGUACCGCUGUGGCACCAUCUUCUGCUCCUCUCGUCAUUUCAUUUGAUUUAUUCAUAUCCGAUCAUUCAGGGUUUCAUUGGUUUUUGUUUCACAUGUAGGCUGCGUGCUUGAGAGUUUCUGGCGGGUGCUUAUUUCAUCCUCGCUGAAUGAAAGUUUUGUUCUAAUGAUCAUAACUGAUUCUACAAAUACCACAAGAAUAAAUGCAGGCCACCAAGCUCUCUGCAAACGACACAGCCUGAAACCCCCUGAUCCACUGGAAUGACUUACUGCUUUGAUUCUCACUUUUGAUAGCUAUGUUAUUCUGUGUUGGUGCAGAGGCAGAGACAUUCACAAUGGUACACUGAUUUGAUAAAAAGGAAUCAUUCGGAAUGGAUCCUGCACUGGUAAGUGAACACGCAAGACAGAGAUACAAAAGAGGUCACCAGAAAUACAGACUGCCAAUACAGAGGUGCACAUUAAUAAUAAUAAUGACUGGAUUGGUACUACAUUGCAUUGGCUUUUUAGGUAAACGUAAUGUUAUUAGAAGCCUGUGCUGCCUUUAAAGCAUGUCUCUUACCCCCUAUUAUUAAAGGAAUCAAAACAUCAAUAUGUUUUAUUUGUAUUUCAUUUUAUUAAUUGUGUAUUUGUUUGUGUUGUUCUAUGUUGUAUAUUUGUACUUUUUUUUGGGGGGGGGGGGGUGAUUAUCAAAAGUAUUGACAUUUGCAUUUGUAUGGAUCCUUUUGAGUUCCAGAAUGACUGGUCAGGAUAUUUGUCCUUCAUGCUUCUGCAACACUGGCUCCUACAGGACUUCAUAAGGGAGGAAUCAAUAAAGAAGUAUAUCACUCAUGCUAUUCCCUCAUGCAUGACACAUAAUGCAAUGAAGGGUCUGUUCCAUUGAUCGAAACAGCAAUGGAUCUUCAUUCCACCACCGUUCAGAUCAAUCUGAUCAAUACUACUCCCAAUAUGUUGUUACAGAAAGCAAGACCCCACAGAAGUGCACUUGCUCAGAGAUCUUGGUUGUUAUUGAUUGAUUGCAGUGAUCCAACACUGUUUACAGUGAUCCGUUUGAGCUCAAUUAAUUCCAGCCCAAUGUGUUUAGAGAUGUCUAGAAGACUUCGAUUUACCGUUAGUAAAUCAGGCUCCGUGGAGCAAUCCAGCAAUGUUUACCGCUGAAGCCCUGGCUUCAUAAUCUGACUGGCAUCAUAAAGGUAAUAAGAGUGAGGUGUCUGAAACCCACAAAGCCACCACACAGCAAUUUAACACAAUUCAAUAUAACUGUCACUUGAGACAGACCCAGGGUAAAAUCGUAGGUGGCUGUUAUCCAAAAACACAGUAGCGGCUGGGCUGAAGCUUUGUUGAAAAAUACAUUCAUUCCAUUGAAAAUAUUUAUUUACAAUGGGUCGAUGGAAAGUAACAGAGGUUUUAUUGUAGCACAUCCCCCCCCCAUCUCCCCCUCCAGGUUCAUCCAUUUAUAAAUGAGGGGUGCGGUCUUCUUUUCAGCUGUUCGUUUGCAGUUUGCAAUUAGCGGUUUGUCGUCUCUGUUGAUUAAAAGCAGGGAAUUAUGCUCACGAUAACUGCCCCCCGUCUCCUGCCCCCUGUCCCCCCGCUAAAUAUUUGCCUUUUAAAUCAAAGAAAGUGUGAGUGGAUGCAUCAUUGAUGGGAGUAGUGGGGUGGCCUUCGUACUACCCAUUGUGAGAGGAAACUAAACACAAGCACAAGGCCAGGAGUUCCUAAUUAAUGGUCUGAGUUGUUAUCUGGACAAAGCUCUGUUAUUCUUUAAUGGACGGAGCAGGAGGGACAGAAGGACUUGAUCCAACGUUCUGAUUGUUGUUUCUCAAGAGAUGAGCAAACUAGGGCGAUUGCCGUCUUCCACAAACAAUAAGACGUCUGGGCGCUCUUGUCCAUUAUUAGGAGCGAAGUCAACGUUUUCACCAGCCGCCCUUCCUUCCAAUGUAAUAUGAGGGACAGAGAGCAAAGCAGCUAGGCCCCGGAGAUAAAGAGAAUCGGAAGACCAGAGCAGCCGAAUUCAGUGUCACCCUCUCUCAAUGUGACACGGGAGAGAGAAUUCAGCAGAAAACAACGAUACCAGGAAGGUCCCACUGAUGAAUGGGAUUGUGUAGCCUAAAUAUUUGUGUCACCCCAAAGCAAAGUGCAGCAUAUACACAAGAUAAAGCAAAUACCAACUGGUAAAGCUGGAGAUGUCAGUGUAAAGUAUACUCAUGUUUCCUGCGAGCAUGAUGUGAUCAGGGUUAUUUUCUCACCAGUUCUCAGAUGCUGAGCAGGGUUAGGCCUGUUAGUUCUGUAAUGUAUUGUGUCAGGUGGUACUGGAGCAUCUUGUGAAUAGGAUGGUGCAUUUCCAAAUACAUCCCACCUGUUACCAUUAAAUUAGAAGAUUUAUUAUUGGUUCCAUUUCCAUUUAUUUAGACGUCUUUCUCUUACAUCUGGAAAUAACUCUUAAUAGUGUUCGGAGCUCUGUUGCUAUGUGGGUGUCAAUAACACACACUCUGUUACAGUUUGUUCAAUGAAGACAUAACAAGGGCUUUGACUAGACACCCUGCCCAGCCUCCCAGGUUGCCCAGGACUUGGACCCCUGGAUCAGCUCACAGUGACCCCUGGCGAAGCCCCAGCGCUGGGCUGCAGUGCCCCUCGGAGGCCAGUUCAGAAAGAGACCGGACAUCACAUUUUGUCAGCCCUUGAUGUGAUUUGACAGCUCAGUAAUAACACACCAAAUCCUCUAUUUUGGUUGGUUUCCCUGCCGUCCUCAUUCAUAAUGGUUCAGUAGAGAUUUCUUUAUUUCAACACAAACAAUGGUCUCUUUCUCCCUCUCCCCUCUCUCUCGCAUACACACAGCCGCGCGCAUUGACGGUAAUGGAUGACAUCACUCCCCAGACAGAAAGAGGGGUUCCGUUUGGUUUUCAGAGGGGAUCGUGGGAACCUGGAGGCUCUCACAAUGUUUGCUCUGUUGUUUUCUCUCCCUGUUUCCCGCUGCAGUGUGUGGCGGCUGCUCUCUCUCUGCCUGGCUCAGCAUCUUCAUCCCCUCCAUGCACAGCAGCCCUCCUUCAGAACACAGCGGCUUCCGAAUUCCUGACUUCAAGCACAGCAUCGCUCUCCAAAGCACAGUGAAAAAGAACUCCAGUGUACCCUUUUACCUCCUGUCACUCUCUGCUGUGUAUGCACAGUGCUUUUUUCUGGCUAGCUCACUUCCUCUUGCUCUCCAUUGAUAUCACCUGUGUGAAUAUCGGGGUCUAUCUCGAGUCUGUGAGUUCUUCAAGUAUUAUUCCCAUGCUUUUCCCAUGUGAAUAUGCUAUCAAACAUUUUCCAUCGUGUACCACCAUUGUGUGUGUUUACCGUGCUUUCCUUUCCUUUAUCAUUCUUUCACUGUGCUUUGCAACAUUUUCCAUGGUAAACUUUUAUCAUUUAAACAUUUGAAUUUUUGGGGUAUGCCUGGUGAAUUCUGAGCUGAAAUGAGCUGUGGUAAACUCUGCCUAGAGAAACGCUAAUCAGAUAUUGCAGUGCUGGAGAUAAUACCAGUACUGUAACUAAAUACCUCCCCAAGGUGAACUAGGUGGGGUCUUUAACCUCUGGAGGUGUGAGUUUGAAUGAGACUCAGAUUACAAACCCAAUUCUAGCGGCUUUAGUGAUCUCAGUCCCCACAAGUCCAGAUUACAAAACCACAGGCGGUACACAAUUCUGUGGCACAGGGCACCAGUGCAGAACAGAGAGGCUGCAGACUGGAUGGGCAUGGAGACUGACCUGCUCGCUCGUCCUCUAAGAGAGAGGGAUUACACUUGGGUGAUGCUUGUGGAUCACUGUGGGGGAAACUCACGUUGCCACUGCUUGUGCGAUCCCUACUCUGUGGAUAAAUAAAAGAGAGGAUCUUCAGUCACGGUCACAGAAAGUUAACUUGUGCAAUAGGACAUACACCUGUAUUCACUCAAUCUGAACAGAGUCAGAUCUUAAUACAAAAUCAUCUAGGACUCUUCAAUAACAACUAACAACUGGAACAGUGCACAUCACAUUCUGAUUUAUGUGUUUCCUUCUGUUGCAAUAUGAAGCUCCAGGGAGCAGCUGAUUGAUUUAAAAGGCAGUGGUAUUAAGAUGCUCCACUGUUCAGAUCAAAUGAAUAGACCUGCAUGAGUGUUACAAGGGAAAGCCUUGAAAACAAAAUCAGAUUAUUUCAUGAAAGCCAACGAGGAUGGGUAAUUUGUCACCCAUGAGAUCAUAAAAACAUAAAGGAAGAAAGACUAAAAGCAAAUUUUCAGUAUAGGUGUUCUUAUUGGCUGAACUGGAGGAGUCAUACCCAGCAUGCAUCAGCAGGGCUGACAUAACAGCUGGUUAAUUACAUUCUCCACUCCAGAACUCUGUUAUUAGCCAUAAUUGCACCUUGCUUCAUGUGCUUUGUCAUUUACCUGAGCUGAAAUUUACACUGUUGGAGGUGAGGACUUUCUUCUUGUAAUAGGAGCCGUGAAAUUGGGGGUUGGGGUGGUGGCAUGGCAAGCACACAAAAAAGACCAGCAGAAGAAUCCAAACCUGGUGUUAAACAGGGGUGUUACUCAGGCACCCGAGAGGAAUAAUCCACUCUGCGU